rnacentral:rRNA from 1 species
CGACUGCUAAUACCCGAUAUGCCGAAAGGUGAAAGAUUUAUCGCCUGAAGAUGAGCUCGCGGCUGAUUAGCUAGUUGGUGAGGUAAAGGCUUACCAAGGCGACGAUCAGUAGCUGUUCUGAGAGGAAGAUCAGCCACACUGGGACUGAGACACGGCCCAGACUCCUACGGGAGGCAGCAGUGGGGAAUUUUCCGCAAUGGGCGAAAGCCUGACGGAGCAAUACCGCGUGCGGGAGGAAGGCCCUUGGGUCGUAAACCGCUUUUCUUAGGGAAGAAACCUGACGGUACCUAAGGAAUAAGCCUCGGCUAACUCCGUGCCAGCAGCCGCGGUAAUACGGAGGAGGCAAGCGUUAUCCGGAAUUAUUGGGCGUAAAGAGUCCGUAGGUGGUUCAUCAAGUCUGCUGUUAAAGCGUGCAGCUCAACUGCAUAUAGGCAGUGGAAACUGUUGAACUAGAGUAUGGUAGGGGUAGGGGGAAUUCCCAGUGUAGCGGUGAAAUGCGUAGAGAUUGGGAAGAACACCGGUGGCGAAAGCGCCCUACUGGGCCAUAACUGACACUGAGGGACGAAAGCUAGGGUAGCGAAUGGG